rnacentral:lncRNA from 1 species
AUUUGGUGGAACUGCUGGCUUUCGCCCUCUGACUCCCGAAGCCUCUUCCUCAAAACCUCGGACUCCGCCUCGGCAUCUUUGACCACCUGCUGCUCGUAGGCCAGCUGAAUCUUCAGCCGCUGCAGUUCGACCUUCUCCUUCCCAAGGGCCACAGACAGUUCUUUCAUGGUCCCCCUCAAAGAGUGGAGCUCGUCGGAGCCUUGUGCAGAGAUGGC